rnacentral:rRNA from 1 species
GUUUAUAGCCACAUCAUCCUGAACACAACUGGUCUCGUCUGAUCUCAGGAGCUUAGCAGGGACCAACCUGGUUAGUAUGUAGAUGGCAGAGCAAAAAACAAUAGUUUUAUUUA